CGGGACGGGUGAGUAACGCGUGGGUAACCUACCCUGUACAGGGGGAUAACAGUCAGAAAUGACUGCUAAUACCGCAUAAGACCACAGCACCGCAUGGUGCAGGGGCAAAAACUCCGGUGGUACAGGAUGGACCCGCGUCUGAUUAGCUGGUUGGUGAGGUAACGGCUCACCAAGGCGACGAUCAGUAGCCGGCUUGAGAGAGUGAACGGCCACAUUGGAACUGAGACACGGUCCAA
rnacentral:rRNA from 1 species